rnacentral:rRNA from 1 species
UACGGGGGGGGCAAGCGUUGUUCGGAAUUACUGGGCGUAAAGCGUGCGUAGGCGGUUCGUUAAGUCCGUUGUGAAAGCCCUGGGCUCAACCUGGGAAUGGCAGUGGAUACUGGCGAGCUAGAGUGUGAUAGAGGAUGGUGGAAUUCCCGGUGUAGCGGUGAAAUGCGUAGAGAUCGGGAGGAACACCAGUGGCGAAGGCGGCCAUCUGGAUCAACACUGACGCUGAGGCACGAAAGCGUGGGGAGCAAACAGG